rnacentral:rRNA from 1 species
AGAAUCAACGCUGGCGGCGUGCCUAACACAUGCAAGUCGCACGAGAAAGCGGGAGCAAUCCUGCAAGUAAAGUGGCGUACGGGUGAGUAACACGUGAAUCAUCUACCUUCGAGUGUGGAAUAACUGAGAGAAAUCUUAGCUAAUACCGCAUAAUACUUACGAGUCAAAGCAGCAAUGCGCUUGAAGAGGAGUUCGCGGCAGAUUAGUUAGUUGGCGGGGUAAUGGCCCACAAGACGAUGAUCUGUA